UACAGAGGGUGCGAGCGUUAAUCGGAAUUACUGGGCGUAAAGCGUGCGUAGACGGCUAUCUAAGUCGGGUGUGAAAGCCCCGGGCUCAACCUGGGAAUUGCAUUCGAGACUGAAUAGCUAGGGUACGGUAGAGGGAAGCGGAAUUUCCGGUGUAGCGGUGAAAUGCGUAGAUAUCGGAAGGAACAUCAGUGGCGAAAGCGGCUUCCUGGACCAGUACCGACGUUCAGGCACGAAAGCGUGGGAAGCAAACAGG
rnacentral:rRNA from 1 species